GAGCCAUGGGUCAAAAGUUUGGACACCCCGGCCCCCCAGUACUGUGUGUAAUGGAGCCAUGGGUCAAAAGUUUGGACACCCCGGCCCCCCAGUACUGUGUGUAAUGGAGCCAUGGGUCAAAAGUUUGGACACCCCGGCCCCCCAGUACUGUGUGUAAUGGAGCCAUGGGUCAAAAGUUUGGACACCCCGGCCCCCCAGUACUGUGUGUAAUGGAGCCAUGGGUCAAAAGUUUGGACACCCCGGCCCCCCAGUACUGUGUGUAAUGGAGCCAUGGGUCAAAAGUUUGGACACCCCAGAGCCCCAGUACUGUGUGUAUUGGACCCACGGGUCAAAAGUUUGGACACCCCAGAGCCCCAGUACUGUGUGUAAUGGAGCACCUGGUCAAAAGUUUGGGUACCCCGGUCAGCUCUGCAAUCACACUCGCAGUUUCUGUAGGAACUGCAAUCUAGUUCCACCUGUUUUUUGUCCGGUUAACUAGUGCCGCAGUUUUCGAAAUAUCGACUUCGUUCAAAAGAGAAAACGUGCGUCCAUAUCGGGAAUGGUGGGCUUGUAUACAGCUUUCCGAUCGGACUUACGUUUUUCGUAAAAACUUCGUAAGUACGCGUUUUUUUGCCCAUUGAAAAUGAAUGGGCAGAACUUUGCACGCCCGUGGACGUCGCAAUUUUUGAAAUACGAAGAUGAAACCAAUUGAGGACCUGUAGAACUUAUUGAGCUCUUUCCGAAAAUAUGCGUUACGAAAAGUUACGACGUACGGAUUUCGUACGAUUGUCGUACGAAGUGGCCCCAUUGGAAUGAAUGGGGCCAAUCGGAGGACGGCAGCUAGAUCGAAGGACAGGUAGCUAGAACUCCAGUACUGUGAG